UAGGGAAUCUUCCACAAUGGACGCAAGUCUGAUGGAGCAACGGCCGCGUGAGUGAAGAAGGCUUUCGGGUCGUAAAACUCUGUUGUUGGAGAAGAAUGGUCGGCAGAGUAACUGUUGUCGGCGUGACGGUAUCCAACCAGAAAGCCACGGCUAACUACGUGCCAGCAGCCGCGGUAAUACGUAGGUGGCAAGCGUUAUCCGGAUUUAUUGGGCGUAAAGCGAGCGCAGGCGGUUUUUUAAGUCUGAUGUGAAAGCCCUCGGCUUAACCGAGGAAGCGCAUCGGAAACUGGGAAACUUGAGUGCAGAAGAGGACAGUGGAACUCCAUGUGUAGCGGUGAAAUGCGUAGAUAUAUGGAAGAACACCAGUGGCGAAGGCGGCUGUCUGGUCUGUAACUGACGCUGAGGCUCGAAAGCAUGGGUAGCGAACAGGAUUAGAUACCCUGGUAGUCCAUGCCGUAAACGAUGAAUGCUAGGUGUUGGAGGGUUUCCGCCCUUCAGUGCCGCAGCUAACGCAUUAAGCAUUCCGUCUGGGGAGUACGA
rnacentral:rRNA from 1 species